AGUGAUCGCUGGCGGCGUGCUUAACACAUGCAAGUCGAGCGAAUUUCGGCAGAGUACCGCCAGAGUUAGCGGCAGACGGGUGAGUAAUACUUGGGCAAUCUGCCCUUGAGUGGGAAAUAACCUACCGAAAGGCGGGCUAAUGUCCCAUAAGACCACGGGAUGGCAUCAUCCAGGGGUCAAAGCUCCGCAAGGGGCGCUUGAGGAGGAGCCCGAGUCCUAUCAUGGUAGUUGGUGAGGUAACGGCUCACCAAGCCUUUGACGGGUAGCCGGCCUGAAAGGGUGACCGGCCACACUGGCACUGAGACACGGGCCAGACUCCUACGGGAGGCAGCAGUGGGUAAUUUUGGAGAAUGGGGGAAANNNUGANNCAGCNACGCCGCGUGNNNGANGAAGNNNNUNGGNNNNUAAACNCCUUUNNNNNNNNANNNNNNUGACAGUACUCGUUGAAUAAGGCACGCCUAACUACGUGCCAGCAGCCGCCGUAAUACGUAGGUGGCAAGGCGAUACUCGAAUCACUAGCGUAAAGCGCCAGGUAGGCGGGUCGGUAAGUCUUUUGUGAAAGCUCCUGGCUCAACUGGGAGAGGUCAAGGGAAACUACCGGGCUAGAGUGUGGUAGGGGAUACUGGAAUUCCUGGUGUAGCGGUGAAAUGCGUAGAUAUCAGGAGGAAUACCUAUGGCGAAAGCAGGUAUCUGGGCCAUAACUGACGCUGAUGCGCGAAAGCUAGGGGAGCAAACAGGAUUAGAUACCCUGGUAGUCCUAGCCCUAAACGAUGAUUGCUUGGUGUAGCAGGUACCCAAUCCUGCUGUGCCGCAGCUAACGCGAUAAGCAAUCCGCCUGGGGAGUACGGUCGCAAGGCUGAAACUCAAAGGAAUUGACGGGGGCCCGCACAAGCGGUGGAGCAUGUGGUUCAAUUCGACGCAACGCGAAGAACCUUACCUGGGCUCGAAGCGCAGUGGACCGGGGUGGAAACAUCCCUUUUCGCAAGAACUGCUGCGGAGGUGCUGCAUGGCUGUCGUCAGCUCGUGUCGUGAGAUGUUGGGUUAAGUCCCGCAACGAGCGCAACCCUUAUCCCUAGUUGCCAUCGGGUCAAGCCGGGCACUCUAGUGAAACUGCCUCAGAUAAUGAGGAGGAAGGUGGGGAUGACGUCAAGUCCUCAUGGCCUUUAUGUCCAGGGCUACACACGUGCUACAAUGGUCGGUACAAACCGUCGCAAACCCGCGAGGGGGAGCUAAUCGGAAAAAGCCGGCCUCAGUUCGGAUUGGAGUCUGCAACUCGACUCCAUGAAGCUGGAAUCGCUAGUAAUCGCGGAUCAGAACGCCGCGGUGAAUACGUUCCCGGGCCUUGUACACACCGCCCGUCACAUCACGAAAGUGGGCCGUACUAGAAGCAGGUGUGCUAACCGCAAGGAGGCAGCCUUCCAAGGUACAGCUCAUGAUUGGGGUG
rnacentral:rRNA from 1 species